rnacentral:rRNA from 1 species
GUCUAUGGCCAUGCUACCCUGAACAAGCCCGAUCCCAUCUGAUUUCGGAAGUUAAGCAGGGCCGGGCCUGGUUAGUACUUGGAUGGGAGACCACCUAGGAAGACUAGGUUCUGUAGGCA